rnacentral:rRNA from 1 species
AUUGAACGCUGGCGGCAGGCCUAACACAUGCAAGUCGAGCGGAUGAAGGGAGCUUGCUCCUGGAUUCAGCGGCGGACGGGUGAGUAAUGCCUAGGAAUCUGCCUGGUAGUGGGGGAUAACGUCCGGAGACGGGCGCUAAUACCGCAUACGUCCUGAGGGAGAAAGUGGGGGAUCUUCGGACCUCACGCCAUCAGAUGAGCCUAGGUCGGAUUAGCUAGUUGGUGGGGUAAAGGCCUACCAAGGCGACGAUCCGUAACUGGUCUGAGAGGAUGAUCAGUCACACUGGAACUGAGACACGGUCCAGACUCCUACGGGAGGCAGCAGUGGGGAAUAUUGGACAAUGGGCGAAAGCCUGAUCCAGCCAUGCCGCGUGUGUGAAGAAGGUCUUCGGAUUGUAAAGCACUUUAAGUUGGGAGGAAGGGCAGUAAGUUAAUACCUUGCUGUUUUGACGUUACCAACAGAAUAAGCACCGGCUAACUUCGUG